rnacentral:rRNA from 1 species
AUUGAACGCUGGCGGCAGGCUUAACACAUGCAAGUCGAGCGCGCGGCGGACGGGUGAGUAAUGUCUGGGAAACUGCCUGAUGGAGGGGGAUAACUAAUGGAAACGGUAGCUAAUACCGCAUACCAUCAGAUGGGCCCAGAUGGGAUUGGCUAUAAGGUGGGGUAAUGGCUCACCUAGGCGCCGAUCCCUAGCUGGUCUAAGAGGAUGACCGUCCACACUGGAACUGAGACACGGUCCAGACUCCUACGGGAGGCAGCAGUGGGGAAUAUUGCACAAUGGGCGCAAGCCGAAUGCGGCCAUGCCGCGUGUGUGAAGAAGGCCUUCGGGUUGUAAAGCACUUUCAGCGAGGAGGCGUUACUCGCAGAAGAAGCACCGGCUAACUCCGUGCCAGCAGCCGCGGUAAUUC